UUUUUUUUUAGGUUCAAAAAUUUUAUUUUCAAAGACACCAACAAAAUACAAAAAAUGUCCUCACACACGAGGGCUAGCAUUCGCCAUACUUCAUUCAUUCAUUCCGUUUAUUCCGUACAUGUUAAAAUGGUGUUGUGCAGCCUUGUUAGGGGAGCUUACUCCGAAUCAAGUGCUCCUUGCCGAGUUUACCACGUGUAGGAGUGUAUAACGUGUGUCUGUCCACAACACGUGUCAUCGACUGCGGUUGUUUGGAGACUGCGCUUUACAGUAUUACCGAAAUGGAUUUGGAGCAUUAAGACGAAGAUCUGCCCAGGUUCCAAGUCGGCAUACCAUACAACUAUUGGUCCAGGACCUUAUGAAAAUACUUCGUGUAGAAAUUUAGGUCUGCCAUGAACAUAUUGUAAAUAUC